CCUCCAGCUGUUUUGGGACUACAAUUCCUCUCAUCCCUGAACACUGGUCCUGCUAGCUAGGGAUGAUGGGAGUUGUAGUCCAAAAACAGCUGGAGG